rnacentral:rRNA from 1 species
AUUGAACGCUGGCGGCAUGCCUUACACAUGCAAGUCGAACGACAGCACGGGAGCAAUCCUGGUGGCGAGUGGCGAACGGGUGAGUAAUAUAUCGGAACGUGCCCAGUCGUGGGGGACAACGCAGCGAAAGCUGUGCUAAUACCGCAUACGAUCUAAGGAUGAAAGCGGGGGAUCGCAAGACCUCGCGCGAUUGGAGCGGCCGAUAUCAGAGUAGCUAGUUGGUGGGGUAAAGGCCCACCAAGGAGACGAUCUGUAGCUGGUCUGAGAGGACGACCAGCCACACUGGAACUGAGACACGGCCCAGACUCCUACGGGAGGCAGCAGUGGGGAAUUUUGGACAAUGGGCGAAAGCCUGAUCCAGCCAUGCCGCGUGUCUGAAGAAGGCCUUCGGGUUGUAAAGGACUUUUGUCGGGGAGGAAAUCCCCAGCGUUAAUACCGCUGGGGGAUGACAGUACCUGAAGAAUAAGCACCGGCUAACUACGUGCCAGCCGCCGCUGUAACAC